rnacentral:rRNA from 1 species
GAUGAACGCUGGCGGCGUGCCUAAUACAUGCAAGUCGAACGCUGGAAAUCUAGCUUGCUCGAUUGAAGGAGUGGCGAACGGGUGAGUAAUACAUAAGCAACCUACCCACGAAGACUGGGAUAAUCUCUGGAAACGGGGACUAAUACCGGAUAGGUAAUCGGAAGGCAUCUUCUGAUUAUUAAAGGUUAAAAACACUGGUGGAUGGGCUUAUGGCGCAUUAGUUAGUUGGUGAGGUAACGGCCCACCAAGACGAUGAUGCGUAGCCGGCCUGAGAGGGUGAACGGCCACAUUGGGACUGAGACACGGCCCAGACUCCUACGGGAGGCAGCAGUAGGGAAUUUUCGGCAAUGGGGGAAACCCUGACCGAGCAACGCCGCGUGAGUGAUGACGGCCUUCGGGUUGUAAAGCUCUGUUGUAAGGGAAGAACGGUAGAUAGAGAAUAUCUAAAUGACGGUACCUGACCAGAAAGCCACGGCUAACUACGUG